UGGCGGCAGGCCUAACACAUGCAAGUCGAGCGGAAACGAGUUAUCUGAACCUUCGGGGAACGAUAACGGCGUCGAGCGGCGGACGGGUGAGUAAUGCCUAGGAAAUUGCCUUGAUGUGGGGGAUAACCAUUGGAAACGAUGGCUAAUACCGCAUGAUGCCUACGGGCCAAAGAGGGGGACCUUCGGGCCUCUCGCGUCAAGAUAUGCCUAGGUGGGAUUAGCUAGUUGGUGAGGUAAUGGCUCACCAAGGCGACGAUCCCUAGCUGGUCUGAGAGGAUGAUCAGCCACACUGGAACUGAGACACGGUCCAGACUCCUACGGGAGGCAGCAGUGGGGAAUAUUGCACAAUGGGCGCAAGCCUGAUGCAGCCAUGCCGCGUGUAUGAAGAAGGCCUUCGGGUUGUAAAGUACUUUCAGCAGUGAGGAAGGGGGUGUCGUUAAUAGCGGCAUUUCUUGACGUUAGCUGCAGAAGAAGCACCGGCUAACUC
rnacentral:rRNA from 1 species